GGGCGGUUAGCUCAGUUGGGAGAGCACUCGCCUUACAAGCGAGAGGCCACUGGUUCGAGCCCAGUACCGCCCA
rnacentral:tRNA from 1 species